UACGAAGGGGACUAGCGUUGUUCGGAAUCACUGGGCGUAAAGCGCGCGUAGGCGGCUUUGCAAGUCAGAGGUGAAAUGCCAAGGCUUAACCUUGGAACUGCCUUUGAAACUGCGAAGCUAGAGUGUCGGAGGGGAUAGCGGAAUUGCUAAUGUAGCGGUGAAAUGCGUAGAUAUUAGCAGGAACACCGGUGGCGAAGGCGGCUAUCUGGACGACAACUGACGCUGAGGCGCGAAAGCGUGGGGAUCAAACAGG
rnacentral:rRNA from 1 species